GGGCUCGUAGCUCAGUCGGUAGAGCAUUUGACUUUUAAUCAAAGGGUCGGCGGUUCGAACCCGCCCGAGCUCACCA
rnacentral:tRNA from 8 species